rnacentral:rRNA from 1 species
GAUGAACGCUGGCGGCGUGCCUAAUACAUGCAAGUCGAGCGGCAGCACGGUCUUCGGACUGGUGGCGAGCGGCGAACGGCUGAGUAACGCGUAGGAAUCUACCCCAAAGUGAGGGAUAACUCCGGGAAACCGGAGCUAAUACCGCAUGUGGUCUUCGGAUUAAAGCUUUAUGUGCUUUGGGAAGAGCCUGCGUUCGAUUAGCUAGUUGGUGAGGUAAUAGCUCACCAAGGCGACGAUCGAUAGCUGGUCUGAGAGGAUGAUCAGCCAGACUGGAACUGAGACAUGGUCCAGACUCCUACGGGAGGCAGCAGUGGGGAAUAUUGCACAAUGGGCGCAAGCCUGAUGCAGCCAUGCCGCGUGUAUGAAGAAGGCCUUCGGGUUGUAAAGUACUUUCAGCGAGGAGGAAGGCGUUGUGGUUAAUAACCGCAGCGAUUGACGUUACUCGCAGAAGAAGCACCGGCUAACUCCGUGCCAGCCGCCGCGGUAA